rnacentral:lncRNA from 1 species
UUAACAUCGUUUGCCUAGUUAGUAUCAUGCUAUUUUGUCACAUAUAAAUAUAAAAUUAUAACAAAAAAUUUUAAUUUGUAAUUUAAAAAUAUUUGGAUGAGAUUGCGAGAGUUUCUUCAAACCUAAAUAGAGGUCAUAAAUUCAAAUUAAGUCUUAGAUAUACAGCAGUUAAAUAUCUUUAAAAAAAUUUACUGUCUAUUAUAAUUUUAAAAAGUUUGAAGGAUUUGUCUUUAGGUAGAGGAUAUCGAUUUAUAAAAAUU